GAUGAACGCUGGCGGUGUGCCUAAUACAUGCAAGUCGAGCGAACGCACGAGAAGCUUGCUUCUUUGAUGUUGGCGGCGGACGGGCGAGUAACACGUGGAUCACCUACUUAUAAGACUGGGAUAACUUCGGGAAACCGGAGAUACUACCGGCUCAUAUUUUGAACGGCAUGGUUCAAAAGAGAAAGACGGUCUUGCUGUCUCUUAUAGAUGGUUUCGCGCUGCAUUAGCUAGUUGGUAAGGUAACGGCUUACCAAGGCAACGAUGCGUAGCCGACCUGAGAGGAUGAUCAGCCACACUGGAACUGAGACACGGUCCAGACUCCUACGGGAGGCAGCAGUGGGGAAUCUUCCGCAAUGGGCGAAAGCCUGACGCAGCAACGCCGCGUGAGUGAUGAAGGUCUUCGGAUCGUAAAACUCUGUUGUUGGGAAAGAACAUAUGUAUGAGUAUCUGUGGACAUCUUGACGGUACCUAAUCAAUAAGCCACGGCUAACUUCGUG
rnacentral:rRNA from 1 species